GAGUUUGAUCCUGGCUCAGAGUGAACGCUGGCGGCAGGCCUAACACAUGCAAGUCGAGCGGCAGCACGGCCAUAGCAAUAUGGUGGGGUGGCGAGCGGCGGACGGGUGAGGAAUGCAUCGGAAUCUACCCUGUCGUGGGGGACAACGUAGGGAAACUUACGCUAAUACCGCAUACGACCUUCGGGUGAAAGCGGGGACUCGCAAGAGCCUCGCGCGAUUGGAUGAGCCGAUGUCCGAUUAGCUAGUUGGCGGGGUAAAGGCCCACCAAGGCGACGAUCGGUAGCUGGUCUGAGAGGACGACCAGCCACACUGGAACUGAGACACGGUCCAGACUCCUACGGGAGGCAGCAGUGGGGAAUAUUGGACAAUGGGGGCAACCCUGAUCCAGCCAUGCCGCGUGGGUGAAGAAGGCCUUCGG
rnacentral:rRNA from 1 species